rfam:Brachypodium distachyon strain Bd21 chromosome 1, whole genome shotgun sequence.
GUAAUACUCCCUCCGUCCCAUAUUAAGUGACUCAAAAUUGUCCAAACACAGAUGUAUCUAUACUCAAAAAGCGUCUAGAUACAUGUAACAUUUUGUCACUUAAUAUGGGACGGAGGGAGUACAAC